AAGAUGUAACGAUCCAGCCAGUCAUUUUUUGAAUUUAUGCCCCGAUCCCCCAUUAAUUGUUUCCCCUAAGUUCAUUUCUGCUAUUUUGCUUUUCUAGGACGUUUGGUGUUAGAAUUUGAAGUAUUUUGGGACACUUAGUCCCUAAAUGAGAGCUUGAGAGUUGAAAAGUGGCCCGUAAGUGGAACAGUAUGAACACGGCCUCGGAAUGGAAAUUUGAUGGUUCCAUUAGCUGCGUUAGGUGAUUUUGGGGUUGGGAGUGUGUUCAGAAUGUAUUUAUGAAGUCAUAACUCAUUUAGGCUUGAAAUGCCGAAGUUUGUAUAUUUGAAGUUGUCAGUUCGAUAUGAGUUUUUGAUCUGAUGCUCGGAAUGAAAUUCCAGAAGUUGCAGUAGCUCCAUCAUGUCAUUUGGGAUGUGUAUGCAAAAUUUCAGGUCAUUCGGACGUGUUUUGGAUAGGUUUUGAUCGAAAGCAUAUUUGGAAGAAAUUUGAAGUUCUUAG
rnacentral:lncRNA from 1 species